GACAGAGGGUGCAAACGUUGCUCGGAAUCACUGGGCGUAAAGGGCGUGUAGGCGGAUCGGCAAGUCGGGCGUGAAAUCCCCAGGCUCAACCUGGGAACUGCACUCGAAACUGCCUUUCUUGAGUACCGGAGAGGAAAGCGGAAUACCUGGUGUAGAGGUGAAAUUCGUAGAUAUCAGGUGGAACACCAGUGGCGAAGGCGGCUUUCUGGACGGUAACUGACGCUGAGACGCGAAAGCGUGGGGAGCAAACGGG
rnacentral:rRNA from 1 species